rnacentral:lncRNA from 1 species
GGGCCUGCAAGAGUGGUCCCCUGCGCUGCACAGGGUGAGCGCUGAGCGCUCGCUGAGGAGGGCCUGGUGUCCCCCAGGCCGUGGCCCAGCAGCAAGACCCCAUCCGAAGGCCAGGUGGCCUGGGUGGCUUUGAGGGGCUUCUCCAUGGCUACUCAGGGCAGAGAAUGGUGCCUUCAGAUCCACAGAACCAGGCUGCGGGUUUUGGGAUCUCUGGGGGCCGCAUGAGAGCUGAGGGCUCCUCCACCGCGAGUGACUGUCACACACACACUCAUUCUUCCCCUGGCCCCGCACACCUGGUCUCACUCUCCUGCUAAGCCGGUCACCUGUGGCUGCAGCCUGUACCUAUCCAUCCUGCUCCCAGGUCCAGGCCCUCUGUACGUGGUUGUAGGAACUCCAGCCCCCGAACCCGGGAGGCUGGUGACUUCAGUCAGUGGGCUGGGGGCUUUGGGUCUUCCCUAGUCUCUCUGGGCUAGAACCUGCCCCGACCUUGGCUGGGAAGAGUGGAGGGGUGGGGAGAGGGGAGGACAGCUCCUUUCCACCCCUCCCUGCUCUGGGAAAGCGGCCCCGGCCCACAGCCAGUCAUGCUGCAGCAGGUGAAGGUCGGGGUGGAGGGUGAGCAGGUUCCCUGAGGAUGCAGAGGAGG